AGAGUUUGAUCCUGGCUCAGGACGAACGCUGGCGGCGCGCCUAACACAUGCAAGUCGAACGAGAGAGAGGGAGCUUGCUUCCUCAAUCGAGUGGCGAACGGGUGAGUAACGCGUGAGGAACCUGCCUCAAAGAGGGGGACAACAGUUGGAAACGACUGCUAAUACCGCAUAAGCCCACGGCUCGGCAUCGAGCAGAGGGAAAAGGAGCAAUCCGCUUUGAGAUGGCCUCGCGUCCGAUUAGCUAGUUGGUGAGGUAAUGGCCCACCAAGGCGACGAUCGGUAGCCGGACUGAGAGGUUGAACGGCCACAUUGGGACUGAGACACGGCCCAGACUCCUACGGGAGGCAGCAGUGGGGAAUAUUGCACAAUGGGGGAAACCCUGAUGCAGCGACGCCGCGUGGAGGAAGAAGGUCUUCGGAUUGUAAACUCCUGUUGUUGAGGAAGAUAAUGACGGUACUCAACAAGGAAGUGACGGCUAACUACGUGCCAGCAGCCGCGGUAAAACGUAGGUCACAAGCGUUGUCCGGGAUUACUGGGUGUAAAGGGAGCGCAGGCGGGCGAUCAAGUUGGAAGUGAAAUCCAUGGGCUCAACCCAUGAACUGCUUUCAAAACUGAUUGUCUUGAGUAGUGCAGAGGUAGGCGGAAUUCCCGGUGUAGCGGUGGAAUGCGUAGAUAUCGGGAGGAACACCAGUGGCGAAGGCGGCCUACUGGGCACCAACUGACGCUGAGGCUCGAAAGUGUGGGUAGCAAACAGGAUUAGAUACCCUGGUAGUCCACACCGUAAACGAUGAUUACUAGGUGUUGGAGGAUUGACCCUUUCAGUGCCGCAGUUAACACAAUAAGUAAUCCACCUGGGGAGUACGACCGCAAGGUUGAAACUCAAAGGAAUUGACGGGGGCCCGCACAAGCAGUGGAGUAUGUGGUUUAAUUCGACGCAACGCGAAGAACCUUACCAAGUCUUGACAUCCUGCGACGAUGCUAGAAAUAGUAUUUUCCUUCGGGACGCAGAGACAGGUGGUGCAUGGUUGUCGUCAGCUCGUGCCGUGAGGUGUCGGCUUAAGUGCCAUAACGAGCGCAACCCCUCUCCUUAGUUGCCAUCAGGUUAAGCUGGGCACUCUGGGGACACUGCCACCGUAAGGUGUGAGGAAGGUGGGGAUGACGUCAAAUCAGCACGGCCCUUACGUCCGGGGCUACACACGUGUUACAAUGGCAGGUACAGAGAGACGGUUGUACGUAAGUACGAUCAAAUCCUUAAAGCCUGUCUCAGUUCGGACUGGGGUCUGCAACCCGACCCCACGAAGCUGGAUUCGCUAGUAAUCGCGCAUCAGCCAUGGCGCGGUGAAUACGUUCCCGGGCCUUGUACACACCGCCCGUCAAGCCAUGAAAGCCGGGGGCGCCUAAAGUCCGUGACCGUAAGGAGCGGCCUAGGGCGAAACUGGUAAUUGGGGCUAAGUCGUAACAAGGUA
rnacentral:rRNA from 1 species